AGUAUUUCUUUAGUCCAUAUAAAUUAUGACCAGGAUCUUGCGAAUAUAUCGAUUCCAGUCAACGAUGACACUAUGACUUCAAUUCGAUUGAUUCUUAACAAAUUAAUAGUAUUUUCAGUUUGUGAGGGCCAUUCUCUUUCUAUAUCAGAAAUCGUUGAUUAA
rnacentral:rRNA from 1 species